GGGGAAUAUUGCGCAAGGGGGGAAACCCUGCCGAAGCAAUACCGCGGGAGUAAAGAAGGUUUUCGGAUCGAAAAGCCCUGUUAUUGGGGAGGAAAAAAAGACGGUACCAAAGAAGAACGUCCCGGCUAACUACUUGCCAGCAGCCGCGGUAAUACGUAGGGGACAAGCGUUGUCCGGAUUUACUGGGCGUAAAGGGCACGCAGGCGGUUUUUUAAGUCAGAUGUGAAAGGUACCGGCUCAACCGGUGACAUGCAUUUGAAACUGAAAGACUUGAGUAUUGGAGAGGCAAGUGGAAUUCCUAGUGUAGCGGUGAAAUGCGUAGAUAUUAGGAGGAACACCGGUGGCGAAGGCGGCUUGCUGGACAAAUACUGAGGCUGAGGUGCGAAAGCGUGGGGAGCAAACA
rnacentral:rRNA from 1 species